AAAUUGAAGAGUUUGAUCAUGGCUCAGAUUGAACGCUGGCGGCAGGCCUAACACAUGCAAGUCGAACGGUAACAGGAAGCAGCUUGCUGCUUCGCUGACGAGUGGCGGACGGGUGAGUAAUGUCUGGGAAACUGCCUGAUGGAGGGGGAUAACUACUGGAAACGGUAGCUAAUACCGCAUAACGUCGAAAGACCAAAGAGGGGGACCUUCGGGCCUCUUGCCAUCGGAUGUGCCCAGAUGGGAUUAGCUUGUUGGUGGGGUA
rnacentral:rRNA from 1 species